UCCGUAGGCGGACUAUUAAGUCAGUGGUGAAAUCUUUCGGCUCAACCGGAAAACUGCCAUUGAAACUGAUAGUCUUGAAUAUGAUUGAAGUGGGCGGAAUAUGGCAUGUAGCGGUGAAAUGCUUAGAUAUGCCAUAGAACACCGAUAGCGAAGGCAGCUCACUAAGCCAUUAUUGACGCUAAGGGACGAAAGCGUGGGGAGCGAACAGGAUUAGAUACCCUGGUAGUCC
rnacentral:rRNA from 1 species